CAAAACAAAAAAAAAGAGAGAGAGAGAGAGUGUCUGUCACAUUUAUUUUAGGCCCAGUCCACGAAGCAAAACUUUGACAGGCAAGAAAGUCUGGGCUUUUCAUGCUGCCAUUAGUGAUGUCAUUGUGGAACCAACGUCCUCUGUGUUGUUGCUUUAGGGUUAUCCCUCCUCCCCUCUGUCAUGCACUGGUCUGGUGAAACUGCUAAACUAGUUAAAACCACGGGAAUUCUUGGGGGAGUUUUUGUGAAUUCUCUGAGGUUUAGGUAAGAUAUUUGGUAACAUUUGAACAGAACAUUAACAUAUGUACACCUCUCUCCCUCUCCCUCUCUUUCUUUGCCUCUCUCUCUCCUCUCAGGGUAUCCCUAAACCUGUUGCAAUCGAGCCAUGCUCAGGAGGAAAAGCUGCUGUAUUGACUGUCCUCAUGCGUCUGCCCUCCGGGCCCUUAGACCUACCUCCACCAGGACAGUCAGGUCUUAUUGUUGCCAGUGCACUGAUAGACAUUUCACAACAGAAACCCACAGACUUUAAGGACAAGUCCCACGCUCUGAAGAAUCGAAAAGCCCUGCCCCCCGUGCACCAGGGCACCUGCGUUUAGGUAUCAACGUGUCAUUCCAAUUCCUCAUUUGCACCGUCUGAGGCACCGCACCGCACUGCACCGCACCGCACCAGGUCAUCCCAGGUCCUGGAUGGAAACCUUUAGAGACAAGAGAUGACCUGCCGUAGGAGAUGUCACUCUGCUGCUACCAGUGAAGUUUUAAUGUCCCAAGAGCACAACCUCGGCCACCUUCCUGCCCUGUUGCUCUAUUCUGCAUAUGUCAGCCUAAUAAAUCUUCCUGCAGCAGCAGCAGCAGCCUCCUCCGCCCACCGGGCUCUAACUUCUGUCCUCAUUACUGCGCCAGGAGCCAACCUGCCCGACCAGUGACAUUAGGAGAGACACAAUAAUUAGAGGAUGAAGCUUUGGUCGUAAAUAUUUGGGCACAUGAAGGAAAAGCGAAGGUGUUUGAAGUGACAUUUACCUCACACCUUGUUGGGAAAAAAAAGCAAAAGCAAAAUGCUGAUAAAUCCACAGAAUCUGCUGCCUGUUGUCCUCUUUGUCUUAGUUUUUGCUUGUCAACAGGUGAUUAUCUAUGGUGCUAAACCAUUUACUUGCUCUCUCUCUUUGACUUUUCUGUACAUACGUCAUCACUUACCCAGCUGAAGCUAAAUUCUGUAUUUCCUGUGGAAUACGUGUCCAAACUUUUCAAAGACCCGGGACUGUCUGAGGCUCGGGUUUCCAGACUGUGACACGUGAACAGAUCAGCAUUUGUCACAGUAAAAGCAUGGGAAACUUCAGAAAAGUUAGAUGCCCCCCUCACCCCCCUCCACCCCCACCCAGCACGCCCGGUGUAGUCGCUGUGAAAGGAGUUCUAAAAGGCAGUGAAACACAGAAGUUCUGCUCACUUCGUUACUGUACUUUUGUAUUUGUGAUAUUUGCUGUGCUGCUUGGACAUUAUAAGCUUUUGAGCCCGUCCUUGGAUGGAAGUGGCCGGCUGGGAGAAAGACGACGAAGCUUGAUUAAAUUAGACCAGGGACGUCUAGCUCCUCUGGUUGUUCCUUUUUUUUGUUUUUUUUACCCACUUAGUACACAAACCUACGAUGCCCUUUUUUAUAAUGUCUUCGCUUUCAAUGGACCAUGAUGGUGGGGGACGGGUUGAUGUGCAGAUUUUUUUUUCUUUUUUCUAAUAAGCAGUCAACCCUCAUUAGUCCCGCCUUCAUCCUGAGCUGUACAGCGUCUCGUCGGAACAAAUGUGAGUCUUUGUAACUCCUCUCUCUUGCGAAUUUCGUGUUAGUCAGGUUUUUCAAGAAACACAACAACAAGAGAUCGUUUAUUUUAUGCCUUGUCGUCUGGUUCAAAUAUACUGUUAAAAAAAAACAACCAAAACAACUUUUGUUACACUUGUGGAGAAAAUAAAAGCAUUUUUUGUCGUUGUUGUUUGUUUUGAUAUUUAACUGAUUCCUGUGUAAGAGGUGCAUUUAACCUGAUUUUAUCAUUGAUGUCAACCCAUCGUUUCAACGGCGGCUCCCUUUGAAUCGUGCAUCUUCAAUGGGCAUUGUCUUGUUUUUCCGUUGAGGUCAUUACGAUGCCUUUCCUUAAGAUGGUAUGCCAGUUUUUGUGUUUUCAUUUUGUGAUUGUAGAGUAAUACUAUAACAGUGUCAUUACACCAAAAAUCAGGGUCCCAUUGUAACGUGAAAAAGAUGACAAACAACAGACUGGUAAUCAUCAGUGUAUUUUAAAGAUGAACAACAUGUCAGAAAAGAAUAAAAACACAGAAACUCACCUGAAAA